rnacentral:rRNA from 1 species
UACAGGCUUAACACACGCAAGUCGAGGGGCAUCAGUUUGGUUUGCCUGCAAACCAAAGCUGGCGACCGGCGCACGGGUGAGUAACACGUAUCCAACCUACCUCAUACUCGGGGAUAGCCUUUCGAAAGAAAGAUUAAUAUCCGAUAGCAUAUAUUUCCCGCAUGGGUUUUAUAUUAAAGAAAUUCGGUAUGAGAUGGGGAUGCGUUCCAUUAGUUUGUUGGGGGGGUAACGGCCCACCAAGACUACGAUGGAUAGGGGUUCUGAGAGGAAGGUCCCCCACAUUGGAACUGAGACACGGUCCAAACUCCUACGGGAGGCAGCAGUGAGGAAUAUUGGUCAAUGGACGCGAGUCUGAACCAGCCAAGUAGCGUGAAGGAUGACUGCCCUAUGGGUUGUAAACUUCUUUUAUAUGGGAAUAAAGUGGUCCACGUGUGGACUUUUGUAUGUACCAUAUGAAUAAGGAUCGGCUAACUCCGUGCCAGCAGCCGCGGUAAUACGGAGGAUCCGAGCGUUAUCCGGAUUUAUUGGGUUUAAAGGGAGCGUAGGCGGAUUGUUAAGUCAGUUGUGAAAGUUUGCGGCUCAACCGUAAAAUUGCAGUUGAUACUGGCAGUCUUGAGUGCAGUAGAGGUGGGCGGAAUUCGUGGUGUAGCGGUGAAAUGCUUAGAUAUCACGAAGAACUCCGAUUGCGAAGGCAGCUCACUGGAGUGUAACUGAC